rnacentral:lncRNA from 1 species
CCCCGGGCUCCUGUGCUGAUCAAUAUCACAGCAUUUAUCGCAUAAGGUUUCUUUUUAAUCAUGUUCUGGGUAAAUGAGUAAAAUUCCUCACUUGGGCCAAAGGUUGGACCUCCUAUAAUGAUAAGAAGAUUUCCAGGAUAUGUGAAUGAUCUCCAGCCUGAGCUAUCAGCUUUCUGCUGGUCCCAAUUUUUAAAAGAAUAUAAUAGUCCCGCCCGCCUAUUAUCGCUGUGUUCUGUUUGUGGUUAUCUCCGCCCUGAGGAAAGGAGAGGAGCUUCGCUGUGAUUUGCGCCCUCAUUCAGCAAAACCUCCGCGCUAGCCAGAGUUAGCCACGUGUCCUCAGAACCAAGAGACCUUGAAGCUGCUCUUCAGGGCCGGACACCAGCAAGCGCCGAACGACUCGUCCCUGGGGAAAGUUACUAG